rnacentral:rRNA from 1 species
CCCUUAGAUGUUCUGGGCCGCACGCGCGCUACACUGAUGGUUUCAACAAGUAUUAGACCUGCGGUAAAACGCCUGGUCACUUCUUGGUUGAGAGGCCUGGAUAAUCUUUUAAACGACCAUCGUGAUGGGGCUAGAUUAUUGCAAUUAUUAAUCUUCAACGAGGAAUUUCUAGUAAACGCGAGUCAUCAGCUCGCAUUGAUUACGUCCCUGCCCUUUGUACACACCGCCCGUCGCACCUACCGAUUGAAUGGUCCGGUGAAAACCUCGGAUUUUUUCUGACUCCCAGCAAUGGGUAUGUUUGAAGAAAAAAGUUGUUUAAACCUUACCAUUUAGAGGAAGGUGAAGUCGUAACA